CGGCGCGCUAACACAUGCAAGUCGAGCGAGAACCUGGGCUCGGCCCUGGGGACGAGCGGCGAACGGGUGAGUAACACGUGGGUAAUCUGCCCUUGACAUCGGGAUAGCCCGGGGAAACCCGGAUUAAUACCGAAUAGCCUCCGGAGCCUUCGGGCGCCGGAGAAAAGGUAGCUUCGGCCUCUGGUCAAGGAUGAGCCCGCGGCGGAUUAGCUUGUUGGCGGGGUAAUGGCCCACCAAGGCGACGAUCCGUAGCUGGUCUGAGAGGACGAUCAGCCACACUGGGACUGAGACACGGCCCAGACUCCUACGGGAGGCAGCAGUGGGGAAUCUUGCGCAAAUGCGGGAAACCGUGACGCAGCGACGCCGCGUGGGGGAAGAAGGCCUUCGGGUUGUAAACCUCUUUCAGGAGGGACGAAGCUACUCGGGUGAAUAGCCCAGAGGGUGACGGUACCUUCAGAAGAAGCCCCGGCUAACUACGUGCCAGCAGCAGC
rnacentral:rRNA from 1 species